GUGGGAGACAGAAAGGAAAAUACGCACUAGUACUAAAGACGGGGACAGAGAGUGGGACAGGAGCAGAUCUGAGAGAGACAAGGACAGAGAGGGAUGGUGGGAGCGAGACAAAGAGUGGGAUGGGGACAAGGAAAGCUUCCGGGGGCUUUACCCAUACUCCAACGAUCCUACACACCCUCGUGCAUCUUUGAUGGCAACCGACCCAGUGCAGUACUCUCAGUACAUGGCAUACCACGGCAGCCCCUACGCCAGCGCCUUCCCUCCAGGGUGUAGCUUUCCCCCUGCUACCGUGUUCCCUAGUACCAUGCCCCCGAGUAUCGUGCUCCCUGGUACAGUGCCCCCCCCUAACCCCCUUGGGUAUCCACUGUACCCCAACUGCCCACCUUCUUACUAUAGUGGCACUCCAGAAAUAUUUUUCCAGCCAUACACACAGGCCACUGGAAACCCUCAGUUCACAAACAUGGAUGAACAAGUGCAGGACCCAGAUGCAUCCCUGAGCAUCCCUGAACAGGAAGUAGAGACUGUGUGGCCCAGACUUGUCCAUCCCAGCAUAAACCAAGACUCAAAGCCUGCCAGACUAAACCGUUUGAGUAUAAAAAUGCAACUGAAGAGGCAACGCUAUCGGAUUAACUUGAUUAAUCGCAAAAAUAUACAAGAAUUGAGGCAGCUUAAAGAAACUCCUCUGGUGGCUGCCAAGGAGCCCGGUACAAAGAAAGUGCCAGAAGGAGAUGCAGUCAUAGAAGGGGAGAAAUUGCAUUUUGUGGUCCCUCCGGUGGCUACAAAGUAUUCUGGGGCACCCUCUAGAACAGGAUUCCCAAAUAGAAAAGGGAGAAAGGGGAAAACACUGGAAGAAAAAGGAGGUUUAUUCAACCAAGGUUUAUCCAUGAGAAACAGAGCCUAUAUGACAAGGUGGAAACUGCGUUUGGCGGAAGCGGUUGCAAAAGGCCUUGAGGUCCCCUCUGAACCAGAGCCCAAGACGGCGCCAGAAGCGGAGGACAAAUCAUUGACAGAAUGGCAGAGGGUGUUUGCAGACUCUGUGGCGAAUGUGGCUGCAACGGACCUAUUUGCCCUCUCUGAACCCGAGGCUGAGAAAAAGCCAGACUGGGAGACAGAGCAGAAAAGGACAGACGAAGAGAUGAAGGUGAAAUUAAAGAAAAAGCUUGGUGAGUUCAACCUGAAGAUGAAGCAGAAAUCGACGCAUUUAAAAGAAGUCCCAUCAGAAGCCCCAACAUAACCUGAAAGGGCGGAUGUUGUAG
rnacentral:lncRNA from 13 species